rnacentral:lncRNA from 1 species
CGAGCAUGUGCAUGUGUGCACUGAUAAUAUGUACCCCUGCAAGUCAGAGAGGGCACGUGCACACCUACGCGUCUUUGCAAACUGCUGGACAUCAUCUGCUGCAGAUGCAGAGGUCCUGCUCUGUGACCCACACUCUGAGCUCUAAGGAGAAGGAAACACACCCACACCCACACCCUUGAGAACUCACCACAGGGAAGAGUCCACGGAGGCAGACCCAGAACGGAGUGCAGAGAGCAAUGGGAACCGCCUGGGAAUUGUUCUCAAUUGUGUCCUCACGCCCACACACUGACCUCCCGGGGCUCUGCAGCCAGGCUCCCUGUGCCUUCCUCGCCCCGGGGAGAGUCUGAACUCCCAGAAUGCGUGUGUGUGCAUCCCCUGCCCCUGCAGAAGACUCUCAACGGAUCCAGCUAAGUCACCAGCCCAAACGCAAGCCCAAGUCUUGGCGUGACAGGGGCAUUCAGCACUCACAGUUUAUCUGUGGAGAAGAAUCCCAGGCACUGGGUUUCAGAAUCAAGGGCACUAGUGCGGAGGAAGUCUCCAUCAGCCCUCACCUGACUCCUGGCGC